rnacentral:rRNA from 1 species
AUACGUAGGUGACAAGCGUUAUCCGGAUUUACUGGGCGUAAAGGGCGUGUAGGCGGUCUUGCAAGUCAGAAGUGAAAUUCCUGAGCUCAACUCGGGCGCUGCUUCUGAAACUGCAGGACUUGAGUGCUGGAGGGGAUAGCGGAAUUCCUAGUGGAGCGGUAAAAUGCGCAGAUAUUAGGAAGAACACCGGUGGCGAAGGCGGCUAUCUGGACAGUAACUGACGCUGAGGCGCGAAAGCGUGGGGAGCAAACAGGAUUAGAUACCCUGGUAGUCCACGCCAUAAACGAUGAAUACUAGGUGUAGGGGGUAUCGACUCCCUCUGUGCCGCAGUUAACACAAUAAGUAUUCCGCCUGGGGAGUACGGCCGCAAGGUUGAAACUCAAAUGAAUCGGCGGGG